rnacentral:lncRNA from 1 species
GUCAGCUCAACUCUUUCCUCCGAAUCACCUCCCAAGUAGCAACCAUGUAAUUUCAGGAAACCCAAAGCAACUCUUAAGAAGGGCAACGUGAGUGAUCCUUGCACAGGGUGCUGACCUGAAACCUGAAACCUCUGUGGUCCUGUUUUUCAUUUCUCAGGGUGAGGGUGCCUUGCAUUUCCACCAGGGAGCCCUGAAGAAUAGUUCCUGCUGCCAUUGUCCUCUGCAGAGAGCAUCCUGCAGUUCCCACAGCAGGACUGCCGCUGCACUUAGGGCUUGCCAACAUUCUUCUGACUUCCAACCUGUCUUCAGCAGCGGGGGUGCUGGUUUCCCUUCAUAUUCUUCGCUCAUGGAAAGACCUAAGCUGACUUAUCUGUAGACUGGGCCAUUCUCAGGGAAGCCAGAUAACUCCGUGGGAUUGCCUUUAAAAACAUUACAGAAAUCUCCAUUCUGCAAAUCUAAAGAUAAAACUUCAUUUUCUGGACAAGCUGAGCUCUCAUGCAAGAGUGCAAGCAGGUUCAGUCUCAGAAGGGCAGACUUAUAGUAACCGAACUCAUUUGUAAACUGAGCAACCAAGCCCAUUUUUAAGAUCCAGAACCACUGAAGAAACUCAAGCAGUGCUCUUGGCUCUUGGCUCUUAGCUGGUGCACUCUCCCUCUGGGGGCCUACAGGAGGUCCCAAUUAUCAUUAGUGGUUGCUUGAUGAGGGUGGCUUCCAGACGCUUCUGAGUACUGACAACAGUGUGCUCUGCUGCCAAGGCAUCCUGCCUCCCUAUGGAGAACAUGGAGUAGUCAUUUAAUACCUGCCACCCAAGGGACUGGAUGGAAGAAGGGCAGGCUUCAGAGGAUUUAUACUCUGAAGACAGUUAUGUUUGAUCUGAAAAUGAAAAAGUGGUGGGGAACCAGCACAAAGGCACUGUGUAUAAAUCAGGAAACAAGCCCUCACCAGAUACCAAGUCUACUGGCACCUUGAUCUUGGACUUCCCAUCCUCCAGAACUGUGAGAAAUAAAUUUCUGUUGUUUAUAAGUCACCCACUCCAUGGUAUUUUGUUAUGGCAGCCUGAACAGACUAAGAUAAAAUAUGACUUCCCAUUCUACAGAUAGAAAAGCUGAUGAGCAGAGAAGAUAAUUAACUUGCCUAAUGGAUACCUAGCUAGUAAGAAAGAGUGAGUGAGCUGGGACUUAAAUCCAGAGGCUGUGUUUCUGACAUCCCACAUUAAAAGCUAUUUCCCAUGUCUCCACUCCUGACCCCAGUAAAGCUAUUUCCACCCAUAUCUUUUCUGCCAGACAAUCUCAUAAGCCUCCUGACCAUUAGUUUUGCACCACAAAAU